rnacentral:rRNA from 1 species
CGCGUAGGCUGAAGUGAAAGUCAGAUGUGAAAUUCCGGGGCUCAACCUCGGAGCUGCAUUUGAAACUUUAUUUCUUGAGGGUAGGCGGAGAAAACGGAAUUCCACAAGUAGCGGUGAAAUGCGUAGAUAUGUGGAAGAACACCGGUGGCGAAGGCGGUUUUCUAGCUUAUUCCUGACGCUGAGGCGCGAAAGCAAGGGGAGCAAACA